UUCCAUGAAUCCAUGGGUCCUGUUUCUUGUAGCAGAGUCCCUUCCUAGCCAUGGAAUAGAAAUGUCUUGGUUCCAAUUAUGCCUGCUGCCAUGC